AUUUAGGUAGUUUAGUACAAAAUAUAGAGUUGUGGUUUCUAAGAAAUUUUUUAGUAAUCCUAAGUU
rnacentral:tRNA from 1 species